GUCCACGCCGUAAACGUUGGGCACUAGGUGUGGGGCCUUCUAACGGGUUCCGUGCCGUAGCUAACGCAUUAAGUGCCCCGCCUGGGGAGUACGGCCGCAAGGCUAAAACUCAAAGGAAUUGACGGGGGCCCGCACAAGCGGCGGAGCAUGUUGCUUAAUUCGAGGCAACGCGAAGAACCUUACCUGGGUUUGACAUGUACCGAAAAGCCAUAGAGAUAUGGUGUCCUUCGGGGCGGUACACAG
rnacentral:rRNA from 1 species